GACCUGAGCUCCUCCCUGCGCCGGCGAAUCAGUUCUUCAUCUAAUCGGUGUAUACAGUUUCUCCACAGCAGUGGCCAUCAGAACAGCACAGGGUACAGUGAUCUGGACAAAAGUGAUCAGCUGACGGCAAGGGAGUAUGGAGGCAGAAAGAAAGUCCUGCUGACGGAGGUUCACAGGUCUGGGAGGUUCUGAGUCAUCUUCACGUCACACUGGCUUUGCUUAGGACAAAAACCCAAGAGAAGCUCAGAAGCCCAGCAUCCCAGAGAGACACAGCCCCUGCUUGCACUGUUAGGAGUCCCAUGAGAAUGUCAAGUACACAACCAUGACACAUACGGACAGGUCAGACCUAAACAGGCCCCUGGGAGGCCCUGUGAGCUCUGCUUAGUUGAUUCUGUGGGCCACGUUCUCGUGGUUUCUUCAACCUCCCUGGCUCCUACAAUUCCUCCUCCCUUUCUCACUAGGAUUCCCUAAGCUCCGUCUAAUGUUUGGCUGUGGGUCUCUGCAUCUGCCCCUACCCUAACAUUUAUUUUUGCAUUUAAUUUUUAGUCAAUAAAUAUAUGUAAUAAACUGUCUCUUCUGAC
ensembl:lincRNA 2610020F03Rik RIKEN cDNA 2610020F03 gene